GAUGAACGCUGGAGGCGUGCCUAAUACAUGCAAGUCGAACGAACCGGGGACGGGUGAGUAACACGUGGAUAACCUCCUAUAAGACUGGGAUAACUUCGGGAAACCGGAGCUAAACCGGAUACUUAUACAUGGAUCCACGCUGCAUUAGCUAGUUGGUAAGGUAACGGCUUACCAAGGAAACGAUGCAUAGCCGACCUGAGAGGGUGAUCGGCCACACUGGAACUGAGACACGGUCCAGACUCCUACGGGAGGCAGCAGUGGGGAAUCUGCCGCAAUGGGCGAAAGCCUGACGGAGCAACGCCGCGUGUGUGAUGAAGGUCUUCGGAUCGUAAAACUCUGUUAGUAGGGAAGCGGUACCUAAUCAGAAAGCCACGGCUAACUACGUGCCAGCAGCCGCGGUAAUUC
rnacentral:rRNA from 1 species